UACGGGGGGGAGCAAGCGUUGUUCGGAUUUACUGGGCGUAAAGGGCGCGUAGGCGGUCGUGACAAGUCACUUGUGAAAUCUCCGGGCUUAACUCGGAACGGUCAAGUGAUACUGUCGUGCUAGAGUACAGAAGGGGCAACUGGAAUUCUCGGUGUAGCGGUGAAAUGCGCAGAUAUCAGGAAGAACACCCGUGGCGAAGGCGGCUCUCUGGGACGGUACUGACGCUGAGACGCGAAAGCGUGGGGAGCGAACAGG
rnacentral:rRNA from 1 species